rnacentral:rRNA from 1 species
GAUGAACGCUGGCGGCGUGCUUAACACAUGUAAGUCGAACGAACCUAUUGUUCCAAUUAGCAAUAGUUGGGGUGGUAGGUGAGUGGCGCACGGGUGCGUAACACGUGGGUGACCUGCCCUAAAGUGGGGAAUAACUGUUCGAAAGGAUAGCUAAUACCGCAUGCGAUCGGUCAUUCAGUUGGCUGAUCAAAGGUCCGUAAGGAUCGCUUUAGGAUGGGCCUGCGGCCGAUUAGGUAGUUGGUGAGGUAAUGGCUCACCAAGCCAAUGAUCGGUAGGGGGCGUGAGGGCGUGGCCCCCCACACUGGCACUGACACACGGGCCAGACUCCUACGGGAGGCAGCAGUGAGGAAUAUUGCGCAAUGGGCGAAAGCCUGACGCAGCAACGCCGCGUGGGCGAUGAAGGCCUUCGGGUUGUAAAGCCCUUUUCCAGGGGAAGAGGAAGGACGGUACCCUGGGAAUAAGCCACGGCUAACUACGUG